AAUAUUUGACAAUGGGCGUAAGCCUGAUCCAGCAAUGCCGCGUGAGUGAAGAAGGCCUUCGGGUUGUAAAGCUCUUUCGGUCGGAAAGAAAAUGCGCCGGCUAAUACCCAGCGCGGAUGACGAUACCGUCAUGAGAAGUAUCGGCUAACUACCUGCCAGCAACCGCGGUAAUACGUAGGGUGCGGGCGUUAAUCGGAAUUACUGGGCGUAAAGCGUGCGCAGGCGGUUGAUUAAGACAGGCGUGAAAUCCCCGGGCUUAACCUGGGAACUGCGCUUGUGACUGGUCAGCUAGAGUACGGCAGAGGGGGGUGGAAUUCCACGUGUAGCAGUGAAAUGCGUAGAGAUGUGGAGGAACACCGAUGGCGAAGGCAGCCCCCUGGGCCGAUACUGACGCUCAUGCACGAAAGCGUGGGUAGCAAACAGG
rnacentral:rRNA from 1 species